AUGAAGUGGCGCCAAGCUUCUGGCGUUCUCUAUGACAAGAGUGCCACAAAAGCUAAAGGCGGGUUCUAUAGGACGGCGAUUCGACCCGCAAUGUUGUUUGGUGUUGAGUGUUGCCCGACUAAAAGGUGGCGUGUUCAACGGUUAGGUGUGGCGGAGAUGGGCAUGUUGAGAUGGAUGUGUGGCCACACAAGGAAGGACCGGGUCCAGAAUGAUGACGUACGAGAUAGAGUUGGGGUAGCACCGAUUGAAGAGAAGCUUGUCCAACAUCGUCUGAGAUGGUUUGGCCAUAUUCAACACAGGCCUCCAGAAGCUCCAAUGCAUAGCAGACGGCUAAAGCGUGGUGAUAAUGUCAAGAGAGGUCGGGGUAGACCGAACUUGACAUGGGAGGAGUCCGUAAAGAGAGAUCUGAAGGACUGCAAUAUCACCAAAGAACUAGCCAUGGACAGGAGCGUGGAAGCUUGCUUGGUUGCGAGAUCUUGCGGGUUUCAGCUCUAG
rnacentral:rRNA from 1 species